GACAUGUACCAAGAAAUAUCUUCAGGUGUAGAGAUAAGGGAUGGUUUAUCUACUCCCUCUUUUCCUUUCAUUCUUUGAAAUGGAAUGACUCUUCUAAAGAACAUGCUGUAGGAAGUCUGAAUACGUCCAACCUCUUGCCUCAACCAAAAACAAAACUUACACUGUGAAAGACAACGACCACCCUUUAUAAAACAUCCUCAGCCCUUGCCAGCCUUGCGUGGCAUGAGAUUGGAGAAGACCUUCAAGCAGUGCCACUCCUUUAAACAAAGAGUAGAUGUCCCACUUACCUGACAGCAGCGUCUUACCAAAAUCCCAGUGGCAAAAGAAUGACACAGAGGUGAGAAGCAGCUUCCUGGCCUGGAAAACCAAGUAAUUUUGUACGUGAUCAGGUCAACAUGAGUAAACUCGUCAAGAUAAUUAGAACGCCCUUACAGCUGGAUGGUAAUCAAGCCCUCUUCCUAGUGGUGAGCUGAGACAGCUUGCACUAUGUCCUGAAUAGUCCAGCUGAAUUAUAUUGGGUAACUUUCAUUCACCAGGUAUCCAGUUUUGAAUGUGAUCACAACAAAAGAUCUCUUUCUCAACUGAACUGUAUAGAUUGUGCCAUAUGUUACCACACUUUUGUUUAUACAUUUAAUUUAGUGACUACAUUAAAAACUCAGCUUAGUAUAAAGGCUGCUUAUUCCAUGCCUUGCUCAUUCUCAGCAAUCAAGUUGAUUAAAAAAUAAGUUUUUUUGAUUGAAGCCCAGGCUAUACAUCAGAGUUCAUGGGUGAAUAUGACAUGUCCAAAGGUAGAGCAGGCUUGAAGGUUAUACAAUGUUAGAGGAUACAUGUUUGAAUGACAUAAGAAGUUUUAAUUCCUAAGAAACUGUUGAAAGAAAGAGAAACUAUUAGGGAACCCUGGUUGUUGGAUGAGGAGGCUAGAAUUGUUCUCAAAAAUUUUAACAGAAAUUACUUUAGAAAACUGGCAAAAAGUCAUUAGUAAAAUAGUUUGCUGGGAUAAUGUAAUAGCUGCCAGGAAUAAUUCAAGACUAAAGUAUUCUGAGGCACAUAUUUGGAGAAUUAUAACUUUGGGAUUUUUUAUUUUUUAGAAAGGGGGUCUCACUAUGUUGUCCAGGCUGGUCUUGAAUUCCUGGGCUCAAGAGAUCCUCCUGCCUCAGCCUCCCUAGUAGCUGGGGUUGCAGGCAGGUGCCAC